AGCGACAGACGAGGAGCUUGCUCCUCUGACGUUAGCGGCGGACGGGUGAGUAACACGUGGAUAACCUACCUAUAAGACUGGGAUAACUUCGGGAAACCGGAGCUAAUACCGGAUAAUAUAUUGAACCGCAAGGUUCAAUAGUGAAAGACGGUUUUGCUGUCCCUUAUAGAUGGAUCCGCGCCCCAUUAACUAGUUGGUAAGGUAACGGCUUACCAAGGCAACGAUGCGUAACCCACCUGAGAGGGUGAUCGGCCACACUGGAACUGAGACACGGUCCAGACUCCUACGGGAGGCAGCAGUAGGGAAUCUUCCGCAAUGGGCGAAAGCCUGACGGAGCAACGCCGCGUGAGUGAUGAAGGUCUUCGGAUCGUAAAACUCUGUUAUUAGGGAAGAACAAAUGUGUAAGUAACUAUGCACGUCUUGACGGUGCCUAAUCAGAAAGCCACGGCUAACUACGUGCCACGUCGGCGUUGU
rnacentral:rRNA from 1 species